CGUGUGGUUCUAUUUUGUUGGUUUCUAGGACCGCCGUAAUGAUUAAUAGGGACAGUCGGGGGCAUCAGUAUUCAAUUGUCAGAGGUGAAAUUCUUGGAUUUAUUGAAGACUAACUACUGCGAAAGCAUUUGCCAAGGAUGUUUUCAUUAAUCAGGAACGAAAGUUAGGGGAUCGAAGACGAUCAGAUACCGUCGUAGUCUUAACCAUAAACUAUGCCGACUAGGGAUCGGACGAUGUUAUUUUUUGACUCGUUCGGCACCUUACGAGAAAUCAAAGUUUUUGGGUUCUGGGGGGAGUAUGGUCGCAAGGCUGAAACUUAAAGAAAUUGACGGAAGGGCACCACCAGGAGUGGAGCCUGCGGCUUAAUUUGACUCAACACGG
rnacentral:rRNA from 1 species